rnacentral:lncRNA from 1 species
GCAGACAGCCGACAGUUGUCAAGCUCCCAAGGAACUGAAAUGUGGAACAUGGAAAGAAUUCGAAAAGUGAAAUCAAUAUUCAGCCUAAGUUAGCAAUAAUGUUUUUGAAACUGAAAACCUGAAAGACGAAUGAACUUGAUACACGUUUUGUAAAUGGCGAAUCUCAAAUGAAUUCAAGAACUGUGAGUUGUCAUUUCACUUAAUUGACUUUCUUUUCUGAUUUUAAUAAUGGUGAUAUUCCAGACAUACCAUAUUGCAAGUACUUACCUGAGCAGCUGAGUUCUUCCUUUUUGUGGUUCCUUUCAAUUGAUUCAUUUGAGUUUAAUCCCUCAUUGCUGUUCCAGACCUUAGCCACAAGUGGAAUAUGCAGAGA